rnacentral:rRNA from 1 species
AUUGAACGCUGGCGGCAUGCUUUACACAUGCAAGUCGAACGGUAACAGGGAGCUUGCUCCGCUGACGAGUGGCGAACGGGUGAGUAAUGCGUCGGAACGUGCCGAGUAGUGGGGGAUAACGCAUCGAAAGGUGUGCUAAUACCGCAUACGUACUGAGGUAGAAAGUGGGGGACCUUCGGGCCUCACGCUAUUCGAGCGGCCGACGUCUGAUUAGCUGGUUGGUGAGGUAAAGGCUCACCAAGGCGACGAUCAGUAGCGGGUCUGAGAGGAUGAUCCGCCACACUGGGACUGGGACACGGCCCAGACUCCUACGGGAGGAAGCAGUGGGGAAUUUCGGACAAUGGGCGCAAGCCUGAUCCAGCCAUGCCGCGUGUCUGAAGAAGGCCUUCGGGUUGUAAAGGACUUUUGUCCGGGAGCAAAUGCCUGGUGUUAAUAGCACUGGGAGCUGAGAGUACCGGAAGAAUAAGCACCGGCUAACUACGUGCCAGCCGCCGCAGUAACAC